rnacentral:rRNA from 1 species
UUUAUUUGAGAGUUUGAUCCUGGCUCAGGACGAACGCUGGCGGCGUGCCUAACGCAUGCAAGUCGAGCGGGGAUGCUAAG